AUAGCUCAGUGGUAGAGUACAUGCCUAACAUGCAUGAGGUCCUGGGUUCAAUUCCCAGU
rnacentral:tRNA from 1 species